AUUGAAUAACAAUAUAAAAUCAAUUAAAAACGAUUCGUUUUCUCAUCUCGUUGCCUUGACUAAACUGACCAAUUGGAUGAAGUUUAGGCUUAAUUAUUACCAUGCGGAUUUUUAAUUUUGCUUCUAAUAUACGUACUGACGUAAACUAUGAGGGAUUUAGGUUCUAACCAACUAACCUUCAUCAGCAAAGGAAUGUUUUCUGGCCUUGAGCUUUAUGGAAUUAGACAUUAAAAUCAAUUGAAGACGAUUCGUUUUCACAUCUCGUGGCCUUGACUGAACUGGAUCUUGGAGGAAACUCUAUUACUAGUAUUCCUUCUCUUUGUUUCGUGUGGCUAACGAAGUUAACUUUACUGGAUCUUGAAGGAAAUCCUCUAACUGAGAUUGUGGCUAAAGCUUUUGUGGCUUCCUGGUACCCUCAUGGCAUUAAAUUAAAAUCAAAAUUUUCUUUGCUGCUCGCGGGCGCUCUACAAUGAAUUAGUCAAUGUUAAUGGAAACUGCACUUUUAAAGGAAACCUAGAAAUCUUUCUUGCUUUUAAUAAAACUAAGUGCUAUACAUCAAGUAAGCCAGGAUCUACACACACCACGAGUAUCAAUACUGAAAUUUCCUCCUGAUCCCCCUAUAGUGGGGUAGGGAUAGUAAAUAAACCCAUUUAGUACGUAUUACGCUCCCUUUUACUUGGUGGUA